rfam:Ipomoea nil DNA, scaffold: scaffold1101, cultivar: Tokyo-kokei standard.
GGUCUAUUAGCUUAGUUGGUUAGUGUGAUGUGCUAAUAACGCGAAGGUCACAGGUUCGAUACCUGUAUGGGCCA